rnacentral:rRNA from 1 species
AACGAACGCUGGCGGCAGGCCUAACACAUGCAAGUCGAGCGCCCCGCAAGGGGAGCGGCGGACGGGUGAGUAACGCGUGGGAACGUACCCUUUGCUACGGAAUAGCCUCGGGAAACUGGGAGUAAUACCGUAUGUGUCCUUCGGGAGAAAGAUUUAUCGGCAAGGGAUCGGCCCGCGUUGGAUUAGGUAGUUGGUGGGGUAAUGGCCUACCAAGCCGACGAUCCAUAGCUGGUUUGAGAGGAUGAUCAGCCACACUGGGACUGAGACACGGCCCAGACUCCUACGGGAGGCAGCAGUGGGGAAUCUUAGACAAUGGGCGCAAGCCUGAUCUAGCCAUGCCGCGUGAGCGAUGAAGGCCUUAGGGUUGUAAAGCUCUUUCAGGGGGGAAGGUAAUGACUGUACCCCAGAAGAAGCCCCGGCUAACUCCGUG